AAAGAAGAAAGGCUACAAUGGGGAGAAGAAUGAUAGACUGAGAACUCUCCUUCUGCUCUUUCCUUCUCUUUAAACUUGCUGGUCAUGUAAGGCCAGGGGAGAGGGGAGAAAGAGAAGGAUGAAAAACUUGGGUGGGAGGAAAUCUAUUUUGGAGUCAUCUCUCCAGGAUUAGAGAUAGAAAAGAUCACAGAAAGCAAUGGCUGCGUCUUUCCCUCCUCUAGCUUUCCAUCUCCAUAAAACCCAUAUAUCAACACAGUUCAGUGACCCUUUCACAGCAACGCUGGCAAGAGGGCUUGUGUUUCAACAGAGGAUGAAGCACCUGCAGAAAUAUGGAGAUGUGCACAGUAUCAGGAAAUAAUGUUCAGGUUGUUGAAUUGCCUGGUGUGGACCUGCUGCUGGAUUCUAGGCCAUCUCAUCCUGAGGGGCGCUGCUCUUACCGAAAGCUUGUACAUGAAGAAGCAACUUGUAUGACUGUCGUGCAACUAGUUUUGGGAGGUUAAUGAGAUCAGAUAAACCUCUCUGCAAGCAAGAACAGCUGGUACAAACACUGUCUAUAAUAAGAAGAGAACAAGUCAUGAAACUCACUGAACUGGGGGCUUUAAAUGCUCAGGUCCUGCAAAUUGCAGUGAACCAUGCAUAAGAAAAAUAGGUAAACACCAAAUGGAAGAAAUGUUCCUUUUGUCUGGUCUAGUCAAGAGCUGAGACCAAAGUCAACACAAGGACCUCGUUUUAGUCAUAAAACCCCUCAGUCUGUCUCAAUGGCUUCUUUGUUUUUGUUUUCCUCUUUACUGAGUAAUGUUGUUAUGUGCAACAAAGAAAGAUUUCAUGCAGUUUUCUUAAAUAUUAACUACUUAUGAUUUGAGGAGAAAUCACUAACCAUGGGCUUUGACUAAAUAACCUGCGCUAUAAGCCAAUGAAUGACACACACUCUCUCUUCUGAAAGGACAUCACAAUUAUCUUUUUUAU